ensembl:lncRNA
AUGUUAGCACCAGACUCACAGCUGUUCAUCACAGUUCAGCUCCUCAGUACAAAAGGCAACACACAGAUCCAGUUGCCGAUGAACUGCAACGUCAGGGACAUACUUUGCAAUAAUAGCAUCUGGGUUGCAUCCCAAAUGGCACCAUAUUCCCUAUUUAGUGCAGUGUUCUUGACGAGGGCUAUAAAAAUAAGUAGUGCACUAUUCAAAUUAGGUAAAAAUGUAGUGCACUAUGUAGGGAAUAGGGUGCCAUUUGGGACACAUUCAGUGUUUCAUCUCGUGAGACCUGAGGUUGUGUCUGGCAACUCUUCCCCCUUUGAUGGUCAAACAACAAAGACAAAGACAAGCCUUCUCCACAUGAACCCUGUGUGGCUCUGUUGCCUUUGUCCUGCGUCUCUGUUCUUCCCACAUCAGACCGGGCCAUGUCAGUCAUCUUUCUCCUGCUUCUCUGUUCUUCCCACAUCAGACCGGGCCAUGUCAGUCAUCUUUCUCCUGCUUCUCUGUUCUUCUCAUAUCAGACCGGGCCAUGUCAGUCAUCUUUGUCCUGCCUCUCUGUUCUUCUCAUAUCAGACCGGGCCAUGUCAGUCAUCUUUCUCCUGCUUCUCUGUUCUUCUCAUAUCAGACCGGGCCAUGUCAGUCAUCUUUCUCCUGCCUCUCUGUUCUUCUCAUAUCAGACCGGGCCAUGUCAGUCAUCUUUCUCCUGCCUCUCUGUUCUUCUCACAUCAGACCGGGCCAUGUCAGUCAUCUUUCUCCUGCCUCUCUGUUCUUCUCAUAUCAGACCGGGCCAUGUCAGUCAUCUUUCUCCUGCCUCUCUGUUCUUCCCACAUCAGACCGGGCCAUGUCAGUCAUCUUUCUCCUGCCUCUCUGUUCUUCUCAUAUCAGACUGGGCCAUGUCAGUCAUCUUUCUCCUGCCUCUCUGUUCUUCUCAUAUCAGACCGGGCCAUGUCAGUCAUCUUUCUCCUGCCUCUCUGUUCUUCUCAUAUCAGACCGGGCCAUGUCAGUCAUCUUUCUCCUGCCUCUCUGUUCUUCUCACAUCAGACCGGGCCAUGUCAGUUAUCUUUCUCCUGCCUCUCUGUUCUUCCCACAUCAGACCAGGCCAUGUCAGUCAUCUUUCUCCUGCCUCUCUGUUCUUCCCACAUCAGACCGGGCCAUGUCAGUCAUCUUUCUCCUGCCUCUCUGUUCUUCCCACAUCAGACCGGUCCAUGUCAGUCAUCUUUCUCCUGCUUCUCUGUUCUUCCCACAUCAGACCGGGCCAUGUCAGUCAUCUUUCUCCUGCCUCUCUGUUCUUCUCACAUCAGACCGGGCCAUGUCAGUCAUCUUUCUCCUGCUUCUCUGUUCUUCCCACAUCAGACCGGGCCAUGUCAGUCAUCUUUCUCCUGCCUCUCUGUUCUUCCCACAUCAGACCGGGCCAUGUCAGUCAUCUUUCUCCUGCCUCUCUGUUCUUCCCACAUCAGACCGGUCCAUGUCAGUCAUCUUUCUCCUGCCUCUCUGUUCUUCUCACAUCAGACCGGGCCAUGUCAGUCAUCUUUCUCCUGCCUCUCUGUUCUUCUCACAUCAGACCGGGCCAUGUCGGUCAUCUUUCUCCUGCCUCUCUGUUCUUCCCACAUCAGACCGGGCCAUGUCAGUCAUCUUUCUCCUGCUUCUCUGUUCUUCCCACAUCAGACCGGGCCAUGUCAGUCAUCUUUCUCCUGCUUCUCUGUUCUUCCCACAUCAGACCGGGCCAUGUCAGUCAUCUUUCUCCUGCCUCUCUGUUCUUCUCAUAUCAGAUCGGGCCAUGUCAGUCAUCUUUCUCCUGCCUCUCUGUUCUUCUCACAUCAGACCGGGCCAUGUCAGUCAUCUUUCUCCUGCUUCUCUGUUCUUCUCAUAUCAGAUCGGGCCAUGUCAGUCAUCUUUCUCCUGCUUCUCUGUUCUUCUCAUAUCAGACCGGGCCAUGUCAGUCAUCUUUCUCCUGCCUCUCUGUUCUUCCCACAUCAGACCGGGCCAUGUCAGUCAUCUUUCUCCUGCUUCUCUGUUCUUCUCAUAUCAGAUCGGGCCAUGUCAGUCAUCUUUCUCCUGCUUCUCUGUUCUUCUCAUAUCAGACCGGGCCAUGUCAGUCAUCUUUCUCCUGCCUCUCUGUUCUUCUCAUAUCAGCCCGGGCCAUGUCAGUCAUCUUUCUCCUGCCUCUCUGUUCUUCUCACAUCAGACCGGGCCAUGUCAGUCAUCUUUCUCCUGCUUCUCUGUUCUUCCCACAUCAGACCGGGCCAUGUCAGUCAUCUUUCUCCUGCUUCUCUGUUCUUCCCACAUCAGACCGGGCCAUGUCAGUCAUCUUUCUCCUGCUUCUCUGUUCUUCCCACAUCAGACCGGGCCAUGUCAGUCAUCUUUCUCCUGCCUCUCUGUUCUUCUCACAUCAGACCGGGCCAUGUCAGUCAUCUUUCUCCUGCGUCCCUG